AGUGAACGCUGGCGGUAGGCCUAACACAUGCAAGUCGAACGGCAGCACAGUAAGAGCUUGCUCUUACGGGUGGCGAGUGGCGGACGGGUGAGGAAUACAUCGGAAUCUACUUUUUCGUGGGGGAUAACGUAGGGAAACUUACGCUAAUACCGCAUACGACCUACGGGUGAAAGCAGGGGAUCUUCGGACCUUGCGCGAUUGAAUGAGCCGAUGUCGGAUUAGCUAGUUGGCGGGGUAAAGGCCCACCAAGGCGACGAUCCGUAGCUGGUCUGAGAGGAUGAUCAGCCACACGGGAAGUGAGACACGGUCCAGACUCCUACAGGAGGCAGCGGUGGGGAAUAUUGGACGAUGGGGGCGAGCCUGAUCCAGCCAUACCGCGUGAGUGAAGAAGGCCUUCGGGUUGUAAAGCCCUUUUGUUGGGAAAGAAGAGCAGCAGGUUAAUACCCCGCUGUUCUGACGGUACCCAAAGAAUAAGCACCGGCUAACUUCGUG
rnacentral:rRNA from 1 species